UACUGCUUGUACAACUUUUUUUGAAGGCGAGGAAGAAGUUGAUGUUGAUAUUAAUACAGAAAUAAAACUAUCUACAUUUCCACAGCCACCUGC
rnacentral:lncRNA from 1 species